rnacentral:rRNA from 1 species
AUGAACGCUAGCUACAGGCUUAACACAUGCAAGUCGAGGGGCAGCAUGGUCUUAGCUUGCUAAGGCCGAUGGCGACCGGCGCACGGGUGAGUAACACGUAUCCAACCUGCCGUCUACUCUUGGACAGCCUUCUGAAAGGAAGAUUAAUACAAGAUGGCAUCAUGAGUCCGCAUGUUCACAUGAUUAAAGGUAUUCCGGUAGACGAUGGGGAUGCGUUCCAUUAGAUAGUAGGCGGGGUAACGGCCCACCUAGUCUUCGAUGGAUAGGGGUUCUGAGAGGAAGGUCCCCCACAUUGGAACUGAGACACGGUCCAAACUCCUACGGGAGGCAGCAGUGAGGAAUAUUGGUCAAUGGGCGAGAGCCUGAACCAGCCAAGUAGCGUGAAGGAUGACUGCCCUAUGGGUUGUAAACUUCUUUUAUAAAGGAAUAAAGUCGGGUAUGGAUACCCGUUUGCAUGUACUUUAUGAAUAAGGAUCGGCUAACUCCGUGCCAGCAGCCGCGGUAAUACGGAGGAUCCGAGCGUUAUCCGGAUUUAUUGGGUUUAAAGGGAGCGUAGAUGGAUGUUUAAGUCAGUUGUGAAAGUUUGCGGCUCAACCGUAAAAUUGCAGUUGAUACUGGAUAUCUUGAGUGCAGUUGAGGCAGGCGGAAUUCGUGGUGUAGCGGUGAAAUGCUUAGAUAUCACGAAGAACUCCGAUUGCGAAGGCAGCCUGCUAAGCUGCAACUGACAUUGAGGCUCGAAAGUGUGGGUAUCAAACAGGAUUAGAUACCCUGGUAGUCCACACGGUAAACGAUGAAUACUCGCUGUUUGCGAUAUACUGCAAGCGGCCAAGCGAAAGCGUUAAGUAUUCCACCUGGGGAGUACGCCGGCAACGGUGAAACUCAAAGGAAUUGACGGGGGCCCGCACAAGCGGAGGAACAUGUGGUUUAAUUUGAUGAUACGCGAGGAACCUUACCCGGGCUUAAAUUGCAGAUGAAUUACGGUGAAAGCCGUAAGCCGCAAGGCAUCUGUGAAGGUGCUGCAUGGUUGUCGUCAGCUCGUGCCGUGAGGUGUCGGCUUAAGUGCCAUAACGAGCGCAACCCUUGUUGUCAGUUACUAACAGGUUCCGCUGAGGACUCUGACAAGACUGCCAUCGUAAGAUGUGAGGAAGGUGGGGAUGACGUCAAAUCAGCACGGCCCUUACGUCCGGGGCUACACACGUGUUACAAUGGGGGGUACAGAGGGCCGCUACCACGCGAGUGGAUGCCAAUCCCCAAAACCUCUCUCAGUUCGGACUGGAGUCUGCAACCCGACUCCACGAAGCUGGAUUCGCUAGUAAUCGCGCAUCAGCCACGGCGCGGUGAAUACGUUCCCGGGCCUUGUACACACCGCCCGUCAAGCCAUGGGAGCCGGGGGUACCUGAAGUGCGUAACCGCGAGGAGCGCCCUAGGGUAAAACUGGUGACUGGGGCU